CCUACGGGAGGCAGCAGUGAGGAAUAUUGGUCAAUGGACGAGAGUCUGAACCAGCCAAGUAGCGUGAAGGAUGACUGCCCUAUGGGUUGUAAACUUCUUUUAUAUGGGAAUAAAAUGUUCCACGUGUGGGAUUUUGUAUGUACCAUAUGAAUAAGGAUCGGCUAACUCCGUGCCAGCAGCCGCGGUAAUACGGAGGAUCCGAGCGUUAUCCGGAUUUAUUGGGUUUAAAGGGAGCGUAGGUGGAUUGUUAAGUCAGUUGUGAAAGUUUGCGGCUCAACCGUAAAAUUGCAGUUGAAACUGGCAGUCUUGAGUGGAGUAGCGGUGGGCGGAAUUCGUGGUGUAGCGGUGAAAUGCUUAGAUAUCACGAAGAACUCCGAUUGCGAAGGCAGUUCACUGGACUGCAACUGACACUGAGGCUCGAAAGUGUGGGUAUCAAACAGGAUUAGAUACCCGGGUAGUC
rnacentral:rRNA from 1 species